UACGAAGGGGGGCUAGCGUUGUUCGGAUUUACUGGGCGUAAAGCGCACGUAGGCGGAUAUUUAAGUCAGGGGUGAAAUCCCGGGGCUCAACCCCGGAACUGCCUUUGAUACUGGGUAUCUUGAGUCCGGAAGAGGUGAGUGGAAUUCCGAGUGUAGAGGUGAAAUUCGUAGAUAUUCGGAGGAACACCAGUGGCGAAGGCGGCUCACUGGUCCGGUACUGACGCUGAGGUGCGAAAGCCAGGGGAGCAAACGGG
rnacentral:rRNA from 1 species